AAUAUGGGGCCUUCUAGGCCUUACCAAAGGGAUUUGAGCCUUUAGCGCCAACUUCCUAGUUCUAUUGCUAACAGAAGGUUAUCAGUGGUGGUGAGAACUCCUAGUUCUACUGCUAACAGUAGGUUAUCAGAGGUGGUGAGAACUCAUAGUUCUUCUGCUAACAGUAGGUUAUCAGAGGUGGUGAGGAGAACUCCUAGUUCUACUGCUAACAGUAGGUUAUCAGAGGUGGUGAGGAGAACUCCUAGUUCUACUGCUAACAGUAGGUUAUCAGAGGUGGUGAGGAGAACUCCUAGUUCUUCUGCUAACAGUAGGUUAUCAGUGGUGUUGAAAACAGGGUCA